UACGUAGGGGGCUAGCGUUGUCCGGAUUUAUUGGGCGUAAAGAGCGUGUAGGCGGCCAGGUAGGUCUGCUGUGAAAACUCGAGGCUUAACCUCGAGAUGUCGGCGGAAACCAUCUGGCUAGAGUCCGGAAGAGGAGAGUGGAAUUCCUGGUGUAGCGGUGAAAUGCGCAGAUAUCAGGAAGAACACCCGUGGCGAAGGCGGCUCUCUGGGACGGUACUGACGCUGAGACGCGAAAGCGUGGGGAGCGAACAGGG
rnacentral:rRNA from 1 species